UGUGCGUCGAUUGAUUGCCAACU
rnacentral:miRNA from 1 species